UAAAGUUGUUGCAGUUAAAAAGCUCGUAGUUGAAUUUUAGGCCUGACCGGACGGUCCGUCUCUGGCGAGUACUGUUCUGUUGUCGGGUCUAUCCUUCUGGUGAGCCGGUAUGCCCUUUAUUGGGUGUGUCGUGGAACCAGGACCAUUACCUUGAAAAAAUUAGAGUGUUUAAAGCGGGCUUUUGCUUGAAUAGAUUAGCAUGGAAUAAUAGAAUAGGACGUUGGUUCUAUUUUGUUGGUCUAGGACCACCGUAAUGAUUAAUAGGG
rnacentral:rRNA from 1 species